UGACACUUCAUAAAUUUCUCGGCUGAAAUUCCAACCAACUGCCAUUACUAUCUCCCACCAGCAGAUGGCGCCACCCUGGCCCUACUUCCCAGUGCUCUUCUGGCAUUCCGGAUGUUCUCAGUUUCCUUCGCGCGCCGCUUACCUCAGCCUGUGGAACUUCUGGAAGCAGCAGCAGCAACUGUGGGUGGUUCAGUGCCAAAUUGUCACAGGUUGGCUUGUGGACACAUCUUAUUCUUAGUUUGGAAAGGAAAAUGUUUCUACAUUUAGAAUUCUAUUGACUUCUUCCUUUUAUUUUGUCUUUUAGCCUUGAAAAUAUUGUGCUUCGUUAUUUCGGGCACAGCACAGAUUCAGUUGAGAAGGCAGCUAUCUUUAAUUCAUCUUUCCUAGAGAGAUGGUGUCUCACUCUGUCACUCAGGCUGGAGUGCAGUGGUGUGAUCUCGGCUUAUUUCAGCCUUCACGUCCCAGAUUCAAGCAAUUCUCCUGCCUCAGCCUCCUGAGCAUUUGGUACUACAGUCUUGAAAGAUGCUGCCCCAUUUUCUCCAUGUCUCCAUGGAUGCUCUUGAGAAGACAGCCAUUGUUUAAAUCAUUAUUCCCAGGUAGACAGUUAAUCUUUAUUUCUCUGGUACUUGUAACUUAUUUAUUAUUUGGCCCUUAGCUGCUUAAAUAUUAUAUACCCAUGUGCAUAUCUGUUUUUAUUUAACCAGAUUUGGUUCCACUAAUCUUACCUUUGUAAUUUGACAUAUUUCUGAAAAUUUGAGAAUUUGGGGACACCUUUCUACAAAUCAUGUAUCUUUCUGAUCCAUUUCUCUUUCUCUUUAUAUUGGUCUAAGAC
rnacentral:lncRNA from 1 species